GUCCGACUGUUCUGGGGGCCUGGAAACAGAUUCUCCCGCGUUAGGGAUUUAGGCAACGGUAACGGAGAACUUCCUACAUCCCGCCGCCCUCCACUCUGUCCACGGCUGCUUCUGCUCUCAGGCCGCUCUGCCCUAAUCUUGAAGGACUUCCUGCUGUGCCUGCAUCUUGACAGAGAGGACCUUGAACCUGAGCCAGAUAGUGGUGAUCAAUAAUGGUGAUGCUGAUGGCGUCCAGUUUUGUGGUAACAUAUGUUAACUUUAUUGUGUAUAAACAAGAUUUACUUUUGACUAAUAUUUGUUGAUUACUAUAAAAUAAAUGACUGUUUAAUU